GGGGCCUGAAGGCUGAGCGCAGUCGCGAGGCUGUAGUUGGCAGGAGAGCGGGCGGGGCCUGAAGCCCCUCUGGGCUGCCUGGACGGAUGAAGUCCAGGUGGAAAGCCAGUCGACGUUUCCCGGGAGCUACGACUCCAGGGACCCUCAUCCGAGCUUAACCGUUGGAACAAUCACAAACCCAGAAACUUUUAGCUGAGUGUUAUUUAUAAAAAGCGCUGUUUUGACUGCUGUUGGACUUGGAAAAGCUUUGCCCACGAUACUGAAGCGUAAUUAGCUGCCUACUUUUCAAAAUUAUGUGAUGACUUCAUGGGAAAAGAGAUUCACAAGAACCAGUAACAGGAAAGCUUAAAUAAGCUUGGAAAUCUU
rnacentral:lncRNA from 1 species